GGCCGCCCCUUCGGGGGCGGCGGGAGGCUCGAAACCUCCCGUGAGGGUGCGAAUCCCUCCGUCGCCA
rnacentral:tRNA from 1 species